rnacentral:lncRNA from 1 species
UAUUUAACAACAUCCCUGGCCUCCACCCACUGGAUGCCAGUGGUAUCCCACCUAGUUUUGAUAAUCAAUAAUGUCUCCAGACAUUGCCGAGUGUCCCCAGGGGGGCAAAAUAACCACUGAUUGAGAGCCACUGGGUUGGACCAACCAGAACCCAUGCGCACCCCCCCAACCCCCACCUCGAGACUGGUGAUCAGGCAGGUUUCCAUUGAAACUCUGGCCCACACAGAGGGCAUUUAUUCCCAACAAAAUCAGGGUUCUGACAGCAUGGAAGAAGAGACAGUGAUGCUGGGAAGCCCUCACCACUAAAACCAGAAACCAGUGCUUUUUCCCAAUCCCAUGCUGUUGCUGUUUCUUCAGCAGGUAUCUCCUGAAAGCCUUCCAGGUACUCAGCUAAGUGCUGUGACAAAACAAAGACGACAAGAUCCCAUGGACCGCUGAACAUUCACCAAGACAGGAGACUAGGCAGUAUCAGUGUGAGCAGGGCAGGACCAGCACAUUGAAUGAUGUCUGCCCCAGCGAAAAGCAGGUAGGGAUAGAGGUAAGGAUUAUACAUAGGUUGACUGGAGAAAACUACCUUAAUUGCCCUAAUGAGGAGAAUUCUUAAGGUCAACCCAGACUCAGUAGGGAAGACAUGCGGCGGUCAGUGUCUGCCAUGUGCGUGGACGUUUGUAAUUGUUCUCUCUGUUGAAAAGUGAACUUGCCAGCUCCACUAUUCCCUGGGGACUCUUAACACUGACAUUUCAUGGUUGGCUUGGGUCACUCAUUAACCUCUUGUUUCAUUACACCCAGAAACUAUUUCUUGAAAGCAACUAAUCAUUUCUCUUUGGGUGAUUCCUGCUCUGCCUUUUUGAACAAACGUGUACAUACUUAUCAGCGUUAAGUGUUUCCUUGACUCUCAGGAAUAAAGAGAUAUGUGGUUGGGUGAGGUGAUGUCCUUCUUUGAGAAGGGAAUCAGCCCAAGGUGUGUCUGCUCGUCCAGGAGGCUGCUUGGCAGAAGUGUGGGCCUUCAGGAGCAGGGGGACUUGACAGCCCAGGGUUACCCAGUUGGUGGCUCUUACCAAGAAAAUCCCACCUUGUUGCAAGAGAACUUGGCAGGCUGACUGUUCCAACAGGUUUUCUAAGCUCCUUAGUACUUAAGAUUGGUUAGUAAUGUACUAGGACAGCCAACAUCCAGCUUUCUUCCCUUUUCUACUUCUGGGUUCAUUUAGAGCAGGAGUCUCGCCCUCUGUAUUAUCACCUCCUUGGCCACGGCUGGCACCCUUUGGUGCGGGUCCUGGGGGCACUAACCAAC